AAAAUUUUAAGUUAAUAAAACUAAAAGCCUUCAAAGCUUAAAUUAAGAGUUUAACCCCUUAAAUUUUA
rnacentral:tRNA from 1 species